rnacentral:rRNA from 1 species
AUCCACAGCCAAUCUCCCUGACGGCACCCAAUCUUGUCUGAUCUCGGAAGCUAAGCAGGGUCAGGCCUGGUUAGGGUUUGGAUGGGAGAAAAUGGGCUGGUAAUUCUGCAAA